AGCAAGAGCAGUGGAGGCAAAAGUGAAGAUACAAGUUAAAGUGAUAUAAGUAGUUAUUGUAGUGGUAGAACUGGAAUUUUCUUUUAAGAAUUAAAACACAUAAAUAAUGAAAAUGAUUUUGAAGUGGGAAAUUUUUUAAAUAAUUAGAAGUCCUAAAGUGUUAAACAGGUUUGAAGUAUCAAAAAGGUUUGAAUCAGUUUGAAUGAGUUUGGAUUUGUCUGAAGAAUUUUAAUAAUGCAUGAAUAAUGAGAAUAAUUUUAAAGUGGGGAAAAGUUAAAUGAAUAAAAAUCCUGAGUACACCCCAAAAUGUCCUCAAUGAGCUGAAUUUUUGGAGCCCGGAAAGGGGCGACAACAACACACACCACAACAGCGAGUUAAAAAAUUCUGAGCCUGAGUGAUGAUCUGGAUUUUCUUGGAGAAAAAAUACAUUAGGGCCAAUGCCAGGGUUCUUUGCCUUUUUUGGACAGUUGGUCACCUGCUGGCCAAGGGGUAUGAUUUAAUGAUUUGAAAUCUCUUUUGUGAGAAGCAGGACACAUACACCUCCAUUUUAAUGUAUUUUUUAUGGCUGUGGAGUGAAAUUUGUGGGUGUGGGAGCGAUAUAUUCGAGCGAGGUUCUGUCGAUCAAAGAGGACCUCUGCACUCUAGCGAUGUAAUCAAACACUCUAGCCUCUCAAAUACACACCCAUUAUAAAGCCUGAAAUUUGCUGAAAACCACGAGUUGCUUAAAGCUAAAUGGUGGGAAAACUGUAAAAGAUAUCAAAAAACUGCAUGCAACUUGAAUAGUCGAUAAGUGAAUGAACAUUUUAAAGCAAAAAUGAGGUCUCUAGGUAAAAGUAUGCUUAAGUUAUAAGGCUUAGAAGGUGGAAGAGUAAAAGGUAGAAUUUUAAGAUUUCCACAUUCAUUUUCUAAUGCUUAAUCAUCAUUUCCACUUAAUAAUAAACAAAAUGGCCGACAGGGAUAACAAUAAGUGGAAAUGCUUAAUCAGCAUUUCCACUAACUAAUAAUAACGAUAUGAAUAACAUGUAGUGGGAAUUCUUCACAAUCCCACUCAAUAAUAAAGAUAUGAAUAACAUAUAAUGGGAAGGCCUCGCAAUCCCACUCAAUAAGCAGAGGAUGAACCUUCAGAAUAAAAUGAACCUCCAGAAAAAAAUCAGCAGAGGAUGAACCUUCAGAAUAAAACCAGCAAAGGAUGGACCUUCAAAAUAAAAUAAAGCUUCAGAGUAAAAUCUGCAGGGAAUGGACCUUCAGAUUAAAAUAAGCAGAGGAUGGACCUUUAGAAUAAAAUGAACCUUUAGAAUAAAAUAAACAGAGGAUGACCCCUCACACCUAGAGAAUUGGAGAAUAAACCCACAGGUAAAGACAACCAGAGGAGGAACCUUUAGAAUAAAAUCAGCAGAGGAUGGAACUUCAGAGCAGAGGAUGAACCCUCAGAGCAGAGGACGGACCCUCAGAGCAGAGGAUAAACCCUUAGAGCAGAGGAUGGACCCAGAAUAAAAUCAUCAGAGGAUGAACCUAGAAGAAAAUCAGCAGAGGAUGGACCCUCAGACCUGGAGCUCUGUGUUUUCUCUGUUGAACCACCUGAACCUGACGGACUCAGGGUGGAUGAUGCACUGUGCAGCCUGCAGGUGGUGCUGCUGUUAUAUUGUUCCCUGAACGUGCUGGUGUGAACUCUGUGCUUCCAUCCUGUCCCUGUGUUUAUUUACAGUCUGAGAAGAUGCCACAGAUACCCUGAGCUCGUCUGUCCAGCCAGCUGUCCCCCUGUCUCUUCCAGGAAAUCCUUAACCUGAUCCUCUGGACUUUUAUUCUGGAGGGUCUUUCUAUGAAGUACAGUUCCUGUCCCACCAACAGAGAGUAGCCAGAUUAUUAAUAUCAAGUAAUAAAUCAUUAAAUCUGUGUUAGCUCACCGAUUAUCUGCCCUGCUGUGCCCUAUUCAAAAAAAGUGCUAAGCCUGCAGAUUUUUGUCCUGCUGUAAUCUUUGACCUCCUUUCUUUCUGCACAGCCGGCGCUAACAUUAGCCUGAUUGUGCUAAAUGUGGAAACACAAAGAGGAAUCUGGAUGUCAAAUUAGACCCUCAAAGCCUCCACCAAUCACACACAGCCUGAGCUCAUCCAUCAGCCAAUGAGAGAGAAGGGUGAGGAGUGUGUGAGCGUGUGAGGAAGAAUCAGGGCGGCGGUAACAUGAUGAGACGGACAGACGGGUUUUUGGGGUCAGAAGAAUUAUUGUUCAGUCCAAAGAUGAAAAAUCUCCUUUAAUAAAACAUUAAUGAAGAUUUUUAUGAACAAACAGUCAUUCAGCGUUUACAGACUGUAUCUGUGCUGUUAUCAGAGGGCGGCAUGAAAGACAGCUGCAGUAAACAACAGAAUCACAUUACACACACACACAAGCACGCACGCACGCACGCACGCGCUGACCUCAAAAAACAUCAGUCUGAUCCCUGAACAAAGUCUGCUGCAGUUCCGUGAAACUUUGAAUAGAUGCUGAAUUUUCCCUGUCAUUUCUGUAAAUAAAAAUAAACACACUUUUCUGUGCAUCAUCAGUCCUUCAGUGUAUUUUUUAUGAAUGUUAAAUCACGAGAAUAUUUUGGACCUUUGCAGAGGAGCUCUUGGUUAAUGAUGAAGAAAUGGAAACACCUGAACAAAGUGAUCUUUGCCUGUUUCGUCUUAUAUAUUGAUUAAUUACUAGACCAUCUGCAGUGGUCCAAUAAUGAACCACAGACAUUUCAGAAAAUUCCUUUACAGUUCAGUUUAAAAUACGGCCUCCUGCUUUUUCUCCCUGCAGGAUCUACAGAUAAAAUUGGUUUGUCUUCUAAAACCAGCCCGGGUUUUUGAUAAUAAGAAAUCAAAGCUGAGUGUGUAAACUGAAGAGAAUCGCAAAAAUAAACUACCGUAUUUUCCUGACUAUAGAGCGCAACUCAAUAUAAGCCGCACCCACAAAGUUUUUUUAAAAAAUUGGAAAUGUACUUAUAUAAGCCAUACCGGCCUAAAAGCCGCGGUUAUCUACUGAACUGAAUAUUUAACUGAACUGAUCAGUUUCCGAACGGUGCCCAAAGCAUAAAAGUGCUUAUCAAACAUUGAUUGCUUUAUUCCUUGUCCUCCUGCGCACUGAAACCAUCGAAGUCCUCUUCUUCAGUGUCGGAGUGGAACAGCCUCAGAGGAGCUUCGUCACAUACCUUUUCUGUGGCGAUGUCAGUGUUGCUCUCCGUGUCGCUCUCCGUGUCGCUGUCAUCAUCCCGGGGUGAAGCUGACUCUGAAGCUGAAGUGCUCUCUUCACGCAACAGUCCAGCCUUCCGGAACCCAUUGGUGAUGGUAGAUUCCUUCACGCUGCUCCACGCAGCUAGGAUCCACUGACAGACAUCAGGAAAUGAUGCUCUUCGCAUGCGGCCAGUGUUUGUGAAGAGUUUAUCGCCACUCGUCAUCCAAGUCUCCCAUUCACAGCGGAGUGCUGCUUUAAACGCUCGAUUCACGCUGAUGUCCAGGGGUUGCAAAAACUUUGUAGUACCUCCAGGAAUCACAGCAGGAAUUGAGUUGGUUUUCUUGAUGACUGCUUUCACUGAAUCAGUAACGUGGGCCCUCAUACUGUCCAAAACAAGCAACCUUUUUACAGUGAAAAAAUCCUCCUGGGCGCUUUCCGUAGCACUCUGUGACGGCCCUGCCUAACUGGGGACAGGUGGACUAAUCCUGGUGGAGCCGUUUCAUGUUUUCCCUGCAGGGCUACCUGGGAGAGAGUGGAUGUGGCAGACAAUUCAAGCACCUGUGCCUAAUGCUGCCACAGAGCAUAAAAGGCCCUUCUCCA